CAAUGCCUGCAUGAAGUAUAUCACUUCCAGCGAAGGCUCGGGAGAUCAAAUCCGGAUGACUGGAGGUUGUGCACGGGCGCAUGUGUGUUAGAAGAGGUCAAUGCUUGAUACUGACAAUAAACAAGAGAUGGGUACCGGAGCAGAGGACAAACUGGCUUGGACAGGAAGAUCGAUGAGGACAACAUAUGAUUUAAGAAUCAAAUUAUUGCCUAGGAUAAAAAAGACUGAAGAAAUGGACUAAGACAUAGUCCUGGCCCUUCAGGCAUUCCAAUCAUGUUGAGUCCCUAAAUGAUAAGAUUCAACUUCCAUUUGUAUAGUUUACUUAGUGUGAUGGUUUGUCCUAUGUCAACUUGAUUAAGCUGGAUCGCAUUUCCCCGAAUCCUCUUCCCUGAAUGAUUCCAAAUUUGAGUCGGCCAAAAGAAUUUCAGAGAGGGGAGCCUGGGUGGCUUUGUUGGUUGAGCAC